CCUGAUGUAACCUUCACGCUCCGAAAACAAACCUGCCCCCAGGUCACCAUUAACAACACAAUAAUUCCUAACAAGGACUCAGUCAAAUACCUGGGCAUGACCCUGGACAGGAGGCUAACUUGGAAAAAUCACAUCACAGACAAAACGAAGCAACUCAAGGA